UAUUCCACAAUGGGGGAAACCCUGAUGCAGCGACGCCGCGUGAGUGAGGACGUCUUUCGGUAUGUAAAGCUCUAUCAGCAGGGAAGAAAAUGACGGUACCUGACUAAGAAGCCCCGGCUAACUACGUGCCAGCAGCCGCGGUAAUACGUAGGGGGCAAGCGUUCUCCGGAUUUACUGGGUGUAAAGGGAGCGUAGACGGAAUUGCAAGUCUGAGGUGAAAAUCCGGGGCCCAACCCCGGAACUGCAUUGGAAACUGUAUUUCUAGAGUGUCGGAGAGGCAAGUGGAAUUCCUGGUGGAGCGGUGAAAUGCGUAGAUAUCAGGAGGAACACCAGUGGCGAAGGCGGCUUGCUGGACGAUGACUGACGUUGAGGCUCGAAAGCGUGGGGAGCAAACAG
rnacentral:rRNA from 1 species